AUAGCAAUGAAAAGGGCCUGAAAAAUCUCUUAGCUCAACAAUAGCAACAGUGAUGUAGAUUCCGGCUGCUCCUCCAGUAAUCCUCGGAUCUAAGAUGUAGGGAGCACAAGAAACUAAAGCAGUAGAUCAUAACAAAAAGGUAAACUGGUGUACAAAGCUUUGACACGAGUAUUUAAUCCAUGAAGAGUGUCCUUCAAUUCAGAGAUCUGCUGGAUUUUCAAGAUUUUGAUUCGGUGAUAAAGCAAUUGGGAUGAGUAAAUGACGAAUUAGGUGACUGCAAUUCAGUUUUAGCCAUAUCCGGUGCCACGAUAAUGGGCCAUAUCUGCAUCACCUGUGGUUAGUCGGUAAACUUUUUUGAAUGAAAGUUCUUCUUUCCUUCCUAGGUCCGCGGAUUUUACUUUUCUUUCGAGUGUUUUUUACAGACAUCAAGAUUUUAUACAUUUCGGCAUGUUCUCAGGUAGAUGAAAGAUUGUCAUGUAUGAAAGAAGCUCUACCUUUCGGUAUUGUAUCUCGGUACAAUUCAUUGACGUGAAAAUCUUAUGAUAAGAAAAAAAGAGUUAACGAAUCUACUAUCGGCGCCUAAAGCUCUACUCCCUCCGUCCCGCCACAUUGUUUACGUACACUGUUUGCACGCAUUUUGAGGCUCUUGUAAAGUAUAGUUCUAUAACGUAUUUUUAUUUUUUUUUCCUUUUUUGAAUAAAAGUCUAAACGUCAAACUUUUUUUCAGAUUUUAAAAAAAAUAUAUAUAUAUAAUGUAAGUAUACUUUAUAAGAGCCUUAAAAUGCGUGCCAAAAACUAACGUAAAGAACUUUGUGGGACGGACGGAGUAUUAUAUUUCACAAGGCUACAAAAAGUCAUUGUUUCUGUUAUAAUAAAAGUUAAAGUGGGCGAAACACAUUAGCCAAUAUAUAGUUUGUAGCAGCCUAUAUUAGUAAAAUUUUAUUAUGUUAUGCUUCUUUGCAAAAGCCUGUUUUUUACCGCUUUUUUGGGCCUUUUUGCUUUGGGCUUUUUUGAGCUUAAGCCUCGCAUAUUGAAAUUCGCUUCACUUUGCUUAUAUUGAAGCCCAAAAACCGGAGUUUGCUCCGUUUUUGGGCUUAAGCAAUUGCUUAAGCGCGCUUUUCACAACUAUGCUCAUAAACAAUUUGUUUAAUUGAUGUUAUUUAUGAAAUUCCAUUAGAUUGGUCAGAGAGAUAAUUAAACAAAAAAUUUAUUAAUUUAUUAAAACAUAUUAAUGAUUAAACAACUAUAAAUGUAGAUUAUAGUAUGACAACAAACAAAACUCAAAGUUUAUAGAAAGAUUCAAAGAAUUAUAUUUCAUGUUAUAUUAUUCAUGAACUAAAACAUCAAAAACAGUAUACACAAGAUACACAAUUGCGAGCGUGACUUCCUUCAAAGAUAAAGUACUUUAAACAGAUGCAAAGGUAAUUUUAGGGAAGAGUACCAUAUAAUUUUUAUCAUUUACGAGGAAAAAAAGAUAGGCAUAUCAAAAUAAGAAGAUAAAUUCAGAUUCUAGUCCAUUUUUGAUUGCAUAUGGGACACAAGGGAGAAAAUUUGAGGUACCAGACUUGUCAUAUUCUAAGCAGCUCAUCCUAGUCUA